UACAGAGGGUGCGAGCGUUAAUCGGAAUUAUUGGGCGUAAAGCGCACGUGAGGCGGCUUAGCAAGUCGGAAGUGAAAUCCCUCGGCUCAACCAAGGAAGUGCUUUCGAAACUGCUGAGCUUGAGUACUUAAGAGGAUCGCGGAAUUCCAGGUGUAGCGGUGAAAUGCGUAGAUAUCUGGAGGAACACCGGUGGCGAAGGCGGCAUCCUGGACCGACACUGACGCUGAGGCGCGAAAGCUAGGGUAGCAAACGGG
rnacentral:rRNA from 1 species